AGCAGCCGCGGUAAUUCCAGCUCCAAUAGCGUAUAUUAAAGUUGUUGCAGUUAAAAAGCUCGUAGUUGAAUUUCGAGACCGGUCUACUGGUCGUGCUUUUGUACGUACUGGUAUAAUCGGUUUCUCUCUUCUGACGAACUAUAAUGCCAUUAAUUUGGUGUUUUAGGGAAUCAGGACUGUUACUUUGAAAAAAUUAGAGUGUUUAAAGCAGGCUCACGCUUGAAUACAUUAGCAUGGAAUAACGAAAUAGGACGUUUGAUUCUAUUUUGUUGGUUUCUAGGAUCGACGUAAUGAUUAAUAGGGAUAGUUGGGGGCAUUAGUAUUCAAUUGUCAGAGGUGAAAUUCUUGGAUUUAUUGAAGACUAACUACUGCGAAAGCAUUUGCCAAGGAUGUUUUCAUUAAUCAAGAACGAAAGUUAGGGGAUCGAAGACGAUCAGAUACCGUCGUAGUCUUAACCAUAAAUUAUGCCGACUAGGGAUCGGAUGAUGUAAAUUAAUGACUCA
rnacentral:rRNA from 1 species